rnacentral:rRNA from 1 species
CAGGAUGAACGCUAGCGGCAGGCUUAACACAUGCAAGUCGAGGGGUAUAUGUCUUCGGAUAUAGAGACCGGCGCACGGGUGCGUAACGCGUAUGCAAUCUACCUUUACAGGGGAAUAGCCCAGAGUAAAUUUGGAUUAAUGCCCAUAGUAUAAUUGAAUGGCAUCAUUUAAUUAUUAAAGUCACAACGGUAAAAGAUGAGCAUGCGUCCCAUUAGUUAGUUGGUAAGGUAACGGCUUACCAAGACAAUGAUGGGUAGGGGUCCUGAGAGGGAGAUCCCCCACACUGGUACUGAGACACGGACCAGACUCCUACGGGAGGCAGCAGUGAGGAAUAUUGGACAAUGGGCGCAAGCCUGAUCCAGCCAUGCCGCGUGCAGGAAGACGGUCCUAUGGAUUGUAAACUGCUUUUUGUACAGGAAGAAACACUCCCUCGUGAGGGAGCUUGACGGUACUGUAAGAAUAAGGAUCGGCUAACUCCGUG